rnacentral:rRNA from 1 species
CGGGUGAGUAACGCGUGGGUAACCUGCCUCAUACAGGGGGAUAACAGUUAGAAAUGACUGCUAAUACCGCAUAAGCGCACGAGGAUGCAUGUUCUUGUGUGAAAAACUCCAGUGGUAUGAGAUGGACCCGCGUCUGAUUAGCUAGUUGGAGGGGUAACGGCCCACCAAGGCGACGAUCAGUAGCCGACCUGAGAGGGUGACCGGCCACAUUGGGACUGAGACACGGCCCAAACUCCUACGGAAGGCAGCAG